rnacentral:lncRNA from 1 species
AGGGGAAGGGUUGGGAAGCAAACCCAAACUCUGGUUUUUGAGUGGGGAGAAGCCUUUCACAUGAAGAAAUAAAAGAACGUGCAUUAAUAGCUCAGAAAACAAUGGUAAUAUUUAAUUAACCUUUUGGAACGGCUUCUCUGCAUAUGUGCACGUGUCAGCUCAUCCUCAGAACAGAGGGACUGUGUGUGCCGCUGCUGAGAUCAACAGGCUGCAGUAGCAGAAUGAGUUGGGGAGGAUGGCAUUUUGCUCUUUGGGACUUUCAGAAAAUAGAGUUCUAACAUCAAGAAAAUGGAUAUGGAACACUUGAUUUGUACUUUUAAACUGUAUGUAUCCAUCAAUCUAGCACUGAUGCAUUUUGAAAUCUUUAAAAAUUUUCUCUAACUUGUAAAAAA